CAAGGCAGCGAGGGACGACAAAUGGUACGCAUCCGGCGAGCACUAGUGCUGGCAGGUAGCGAGCGAAAUAGUCGUCAAGAUCAUCAAGACCGCUGGUGAUGAGGAUGGCGAGCUCGCCGACCCGCUGGCUGGCUAGCCAUUCUGGGCCGCGUCGCGCUGUGGCAGCCAUGAGGUCGAUACGGAGUCGCGAUUUCACUAUGGCGGCGAUGUGAUGAGCUGCCGUCUCGCUGCCCCACACCCACCCCGGCCCUGGCGAUAACGACGCCGGCCAAUACCAAAAGUGGCA
rnacentral:rRNA from 1 species